AAAGAUAGUUUUAUACUUUAAUAUUACUAAUUUUCGUAAAUUAUAAAUAAUAUGUAAACAUACAGCAUAAAAAUAGAAAAACUACAUUAAACAUAUGUAAGAUUACCAUUUUUCACUUGAAAAAAAGACGGCUUAUCUCCAUAAUGUAACAUUACCAUUUUAUAAAAAAAACAAAAAACAUUAUAUAUAAUUUCAAAAAUAAUAAAUAUAUGUAAACAUACAACAUAAAAAAUGGAAAUAUUACAUUAAACAUAUGUAAGAUUACCAUUUUACAUUUUUAAUUUUUAAAAAAAUAAUAUGUAAACAUACAACAUAAAAAAUAGAAAAACUACAUUAAACAUAUGUAAGAUUACCAUUUUUCACUAAAAAAAGACGGUUUAUCUCCAAUUUAAAAGGGACCUUUUGAGGCUCCAUAGAGCGUCCACAUCAGCAAAAAAAACUUCUCCCAAAAUAUGACACGUAGCAUAAAAGAUAGUUUUAUACUUUAAUAUUACUAAUUUUCGUAAAUUAUAAAUAAUAUGUAAACAUACAGCAUAAAAAUAGAAAAACUACAUUAAACAUAUGUAAGAUUACCAUUUUUCACUUGAAAAAAAGACGGCUUAUCUCCAUAAUGUAACAUUACCAUUUUAUAAAAAAACAAAAAACAUUAUAUAUAAUUUCAAAAAUAAUAAAUAUAUGUAAACAUACAACAUAAAAAAUGGAAAUAUUACAUUAAACAUAUGUAAGAUUACCAUUUUACAUUUUUAAUUUUUAAAAAAAUAAUAUGUAAACAUACAACAUAAAAAAUAGAAAAACUACAUUAAACAUAUGUAAGAUUACCAUUUUUCACUAAAAAAAGACGGUUUAUCUCCAAUUUUAAAUAUAUAUAAAAAUAAAUAAUAAGUAAAUAAUAUAAAUAUAUAAAUAUACGAAUUAUAUAUACAAUAAUAAGUACAUGCACAAUUUUUAAAAAAUGGAAAGAGUACAUUAAAUAUUAAACAUCUAUCUUAAAAUGUAAAAUAUAGAUAUUAAGUAAAUA
rnacentral:lncRNA from 1 species